rnacentral:snRNA from 21 species
AUACUUACCUGGAGUCGACACGGGAGAUCAUUAAAUCCUUAGUGUCCGGACAUGGCCGGUUUGCAUUGCACACACCUGCUGCUCCCAUGUCUGUCAGCCUCCCUUAUGGGAUUUCUGGGUCUCAUAAUUUUUGAGGACUUUUCAUCAGUGCAAUUGCGUA